GACGAACGCUGGCGGCGUGCUUAACACAUGCAAGUCGUACGGAAAGGCCCUGCUUUUGUGGGGUGCUCGAGUGGCGAACGGGUGAGUAACACGUGAGUAACCUGCCCUUGACUUUGGGAUAACUUCAGGAAACUGGGGCUAAUACCGGAUAGGAGCUCCUGCUGCAUGGUGGGGGUUGGAAAGUUUCGGCGGUUGGGGAUGGACUCGCGGCUUAUCAGCUUGUUGGUGGGGUAGUGGCUUACCAAGGCUUUGACGGGUAGCCGGCCUGAGAGGGUGACCGGCCACAUUGGGACUGAGGUACGGCCCAGACUCCUACGGGAGGCAGCAGUGGGGAAUAUUGCACAAUGGGCGGAAGCCUGAUGCAGCAACGCCGCGUGCGGGAUGACGGCCUUCGGGUUGUAAACCGCUUUCGCCUGUGACGAAGCGUGAGUGACGGUAAUGGGUAAAGAAGCACCGGCUAACUACGUG
rnacentral:rRNA from 1 species